rnacentral:rRNA from 1 species
CGUAGGGUGCAAGCGUUAAUCGGAAUUACUGGGCGUAAAGCGUGCGCAGGCGGUUUUGUAAGUCUGUCGUGAAAUCCCCGGGCUCAACCUGGGAAUUGCGAUGGAGACUGCAAGGCUAGAAUCUGGCUAGAGGGGGGUAGAAUUCCACGUGUAGCAGUGAAAGUGCGUAGAGAUGUGGAGGAACACCGAUGGCGAAGGCAGCCCCCUGGGUCAAGAUUGACGCUCAUCGCACGAAAGCGUGGGGAGCAAACAGGAUUAGAUACCCUGGUAGUCCACGCCCUAAACGAUGUCUACUAGUUGUCGGGUUUUAAUUAACUUGGUAACGCAGCUAACGCGUGAAGUAGACCGCCUGGGGAGUACGGUCGCAAGAUUA